AUGAAUACUGUCUUAAUUAUAUAUCGAUUUUGAACACACACUUUUACCUUCUCGUAACAACAGAAAAAUAUUAAGUUAGUGAAACUUGUAUAUCUAGUGAGCAUCCUUUAAAUGCUGAGUAAAGGCGGAAUUUGCCCGGACGUGUUUUUCUGCCAGAGAAGGACUACUAGGAGCCGGAGAAACAGGAGAAUCGAGGCUAUAUAGGAUGAUGAGGUGCGACAAAUUUUGACCCAGCCAACGCCAGUAUUAUUAUUGAGGGAACGGAAGUCCUGCAAGACCUGGAUGUAUCCAGAGCCUGUGCCCUGCUAGGGCUGGUAUAUGCUCUCAACCUCAGCUACCCAAAGGAACUAAAAAAUACUUUUGAGGUGUUUCAGAAAAUAAUUCUUGAGCUGGAUGGUCUGAAAGCUAGGCCGAAGGUAAUGUCUUUAAACAAUAAACUGUUGUAUUCCUGAAA